UUUUUCAUUUUUGUAGUAUUUAUUCUCUGCAUGGUUUGAAGUUUGUGUCAACAUGAAAGUUCUAGCAUUUUGUGGGUACUAGGCCCUGGUAAUUUUGUUUGCCAUGACACUCUUGUAGAUGAGUGGAUACCUUGCUAUUAAGUUGUUAAGAAUUUGUUGCAGAUUCACAUCUAGAUUUUUACUAUGUGUUGGGAGUGUUAUUUCCCCC
rnacentral:lncRNA from 1 species